rnacentral:rRNA from 1 species
UACGGAGGGUCCAAGCGUUAUCCGGAAUCAUUGGGUUUAAAGGGUCCGUAGGCGGUUUUGUAAGUCAGUGGUGAAAGCCCAUCGCUCAACGGUGGAACGGCCAUUGAUACUGCAAGACUUGAAUUAUUGGGAAGUAACUAGAAUAUGUAGUGUAGCGGUGAAAUGCUUAGAGAUUACAUGGAAUACCAAUUGCGAAGGCAGGUUACUACCAAUAUAUUGACGCUGAUGGACGAAAGCGUGGGGAGCGUAA